ACCAAAUUGGCCCGGUUGCUAGGGAAGGUGGAGUCACAUGGGGUAGCCAAAUUGGCCCGGUUGCUAGGGAGGGUAGAGUCACAUGGGGUAACCAAAUUGGCCCGGUUGCUAGGGAGGGUAGAGUCACAUGGGGUAACCAAAUUGGCCCGGUUGCUAGGGAGGGUAGAGUCACAUGGGGUAACCAAAUUGGCCCGGUUGCUAGGGAGGGUAGAGUCACAUGGGGUAACCAAAUUGGCCCGGUUGCUAGGGAGGGUGGAGUCACAUGGGGUAACCAAAUUGGCCCGGUUGCUAGGGAAGGUAGAGUCACAUGGGGUAACCAAAUUGGCCCGGUUGCUAGGGAGGGUAGAGUCACAUGGGGUAACCAAAUUGGCCCGGUUGCUAGGGAGGGUAGAGUCACAUGGGGUAACCAAAUUGGCCCGGUUGCUAGGGAGGGUAGAGUCACAUGGGGUAACCAAAUUGGCCCGGUUGCUAGGGAGGGUAGAGUCACAUGGGGUAACCAAAUUGGCCCGGUUGCUAGGGAGGGUAGAGUCACAUGGGGUAACCAAAUUGGCCCGGUUGCUAGGGAGGGUGGAGUCACAUGGGGUAACCAAAUUGGCCCGGUUGCUAGGGAAGGUAGAGUCACAUGGGGUAACCAAAUUGGCCCGGUUGCUAGGGAGGGUAGAGUCACAUGGGGUAACCAAAUUGGCCCGGUUGCUAGGGAGGGUAGAGUCACAUGGGGUAACCAAAUUUGCCCGGUUGCUAGGGAGGAUAGAGUCACAUGGGGUAACCAAAUUGGCCCGGUUGCUAGGGAGGGUAGAGUCACAUGGGGUAACCUCCUCGUGGUGGUGAUUAGUGGUUCUCUCAAUGGGGCGUGUGGUGAGUUGUGUGUGGAUCGUGGAGAGUAGCAUGAGUCUCCACAAGCUGUGAGUCUCCGCGGUGUCAUGCACAACGAGUCACGUGAUCAGAUGCGCCGAUUGACGUCUCAGACACGGAGGUGACUGAUACU